rnacentral:rRNA from 1 species
UACAGAGGUCUCAAGCGUUGUUCGGAUUCAUUGGGCGUAAAGGGUGCGUAGGCGGCGCGGUAAGUCGGGUGUGAAAUCUCGGAGCUUAACUCCGAAACUGCAUUCGAUACUGCCGUGCUCGAGGACUGGAGAGGAGACUGGAAUUUACGGUGUAGCGGUGAAAUGCGUAGAUAUCGUAAGGAAGACCAGUGGCGAAGGCGGGUCUCUGGACAGUUCCUGACGCUGAGGCACGAAGGUCGGGGGAGCAAACGGG